CCCUUAGAUGUCCUGGGCCGCACGCGUGCUACACUGACACUUCCACCGAGUUUUUCCGGCCCCGAGAGGUGGCUGGUAAUCAGUAAUAGGUGUCGUGAUGGGGAUAGAUCUUUGGAAUUAUUGAUCUUGAACGAGGAAUGCCUAGUAAUCGUAGGUCAUCAGCCUGCGAUGAUUACGUCCCUGCCCUUUGUACACACCGCCCGUCGCUCCUACCGAUUUCGAGUGGUCCGGUGAACCUUUCGGACAGAGAGAGUCUCGUACAAUCUCUGAAAGUCAAGUAAACCACAUCACUUAGAGGAAGGAGAAGUCGUAACA
rnacentral:rRNA from 1 species